rnacentral:rRNA from 1 species
UAUGAACAUACUGGUUUGUCAAAGCCUUAUCUCGUCAGAUCUCUGUAGCUAAGCAAGGCUGGGUCUGGUUAGUACUGGAUGGGAGACCGCUGGAAUAUCAGGUGUCACAG